rnacentral:rRNA from 1 species
AUUGAACGCUGGCGGCAGGCCUAACACAUGCAAGUCGAGCGGAUGAAGGGAGCUUGCUCCUGGAUUCAGCGGCGGACGGGUGAGUAAUGCCUAGGAAUCUGCCUGGUAGUGGGGGAUAACGUCCGGAAACGGGCGCUAAUAACGCAUACGUCCUGAGGGAGAAAGUGGGGGAUCUUCGGACCUCACGCUAUCAGAUGAGUCUAGGUCGGAUUAGCUAGUUGGUGGGGUAAAGGCCUACCAAGGCGACGAUCCGUAACUGGUCUGAGAGGAUGAUCAGUCACACUGGAACUGAGACACGGUCCAGACUCCUACGGGAGGCAGCAGUGGGGAAUAUGGGACAAUGGGCGAAAGCCUGAUCCAGCCAUGCCGCGUGUGUGAAGAAGGUCUUCGGAUUGUAAAGCACUUUAAGUUGGGAGGAAGGGCAGUAAGUUAAUACCUUGCUGUUUUGACGUUACCAACAGAAUAAGCACCGGCUAACUUCGUG